rnacentral:rRNA from 1 species
AUUGAACGCUAGCGGCAUGCUUUACACAUGCAAGUCGAACGAGUGGCGGACGGGUGAGUAAUAUAUCGGAACGUGCCCGGUAGCGGGGGAUAACUACUCGAAACAGUGGCUAAUACCGCAUACUAUUGGAGCUGCCCAUAUUGGAUUAGCUAGUUGGUGGGGUAAAGGCUCACCAAGGCAACGAUCCCUAGCUGGUUUGAGAGGAUGACCAGCCACACUGGGACUGAGACACGGCCCAGACUCCUACGGUAGGCAGCAGUGGGGAAUUUUGGACAAUGGGGGAAACCCUGAUCCAGCCAUCCCGCGUGUAUGAGAAGGCCUUCGGGUUGUAAAGUACUUUUGGCAGGGAAGCGGUACCUGCAGAAUAAGCACCGGCUAACUACGUGCCAGCAGCCGCGGUAAUUC